rnacentral:rRNA from 1 species
CUACGGGUGGCUCCAGUGAGGAAUAUUGGGCAAUGGACGCAAGUCUGACCCAGCCAUGCCGCGUGCAGGAAGACGGCCCUAUGGGUUGUAAACUGCUUUUGUAUGGGAAGAACUACAGAUACGUGUAUUUGUUUGCCGGUACCAUACGAAUAAGCAUCGGCUAACUCCGUGCCAGCAGCCGCGGUAAUACGGAGGAUGCAAGCGUUAUCCGGAUUUAUUGGUUUAAAGGGUGCGCAGGCGGAACUGUUAGUCAGUGGUGAAAUCUUACGGCUUAACCGUAAAACUGCCAUUGAUACUGCAGAUCUAGAGUUCAUUUGACGUGGGCGGAAUGUAGCAUGUAGCGGUGAAAUGCUUAGAUAUGCUACAGAACACCGAUUGCGAAGGCAGCUCACGAAACUGAAACUGACGCUGAGGCACGAAAGCGUGGGGAGCGAACAGGAUUAGAUACCCCUGUAGUC